AUACGGAGGGUGCAAGCGUUAAUCGGAAUUACUGGGCGUAAAGCGCUCGUAGGCGGUUUGUUAGGUCGGAUGUGAAAGCCCCGGGCUCAACCUGGGAACUGCAUUCGAUACUGGCAGACUAGAGUAUAGUAGAGGCAAGUGGAAUUCCGGGUGUAGCGGUGAAAUGCGUAGAUAUCCGGAGGAACAUCAGUGGCGAAGGCGACUUGCUGGACUAAUACUGACGCUGAGGAGCGAAAGCGUGGGGAGCAAACGGGAUUAGAUACCCCAGUAGUCC
rnacentral:rRNA from 1 species